rnacentral:rRNA from 1 species
UACGUAGGGUGCAAGCGUUAAUCGGAAUUACUGGGCGUAAAGCGUGCGCAGGCGGUUCGGAAAGAGAGGUGUGAAAUCCCAGGGCUUAACCUUGGAACUGCACUUUUAACUACCAGGCUAGAGUACGUCAGAGGGGGGUAGAAUUCCACGUGUAGCAGUGAAAUGCGUAGAGAUGUGGAGGAAUACCGAUGGCGAAGGCAGCCCCCUGGGAUGAUACUGACGCUCAUGCACGAAAGCGUGGGGAGCAAACAGG